AUAAGCACGAUCAAUACGUCCACUCAGUAUUGAUAAACAGUUUGUGGGGACUACAGUGUUUGCGUUUAAAAUAUAUAUUUAAAAUACAUCAAAAUGUGUUGUGUGUGUAACCUGCUCUGCAAGAUCAUCAGCUUAAUUGUUUCUAUCCUGACUACUGUUCUCCUUAUACUGCUCAUUCUAUGGUUGGCUGGCGUAAUCUUCCAGAAUGACUCUACCGGUUCUGGUAGAUCCACAAACGAACUCGUCAAAAGCGCUGGUGAAUACAAAUAUUCAGCCAUCGGAGCUUCGUUCACAUAGUGUCUAACUUGAAUAAUUUAUAUUUUCGUACUAACCAUGAUCAUCUCUCUCUGAGUAGCAUAGAGAGUCAGUCGAAACUUUUAAAGACAAAAGCUCACCAACUGACUCUUUUUACUGAUUUAAACUUCUGUGACUAUAGAUGUAUUUUUAUAACCCAGCAAGUCUAAGUUAUAGUUACAUGUAUAUAAGUCCACAGUUGCGUCUAUAUUUUGUAUACUUAUCCUAUUUAUAUAGCCUGGGAAAAUAAAUAACAAUAAGCAGAGAGGGGUAAAAUAACGCAGUUCUAAGACUCCUCGUCUUUUCGUCUGUGCCUCUAUUAGCGGGAUGAUGUAUUUCAUGAAACCCAAUACUUUAGCCUCCCAGGCAUUUUUCUUUUCCAUCGUCAACUGGCUAAAACGAAUGUUUUAUCUACCUUUU